GUCGAGGGGCAGCACAGGUAGCAAUACUUGGUGGCGACCGGCGCACGGGUGCGUAACACGUUUGUAAUCUACCCAUCACAGGAGUAUAGCUCGGAGAAAUCCGGAUUAAUCCUCCAUAACAUCCCGCCAGGCAUCUGGCAGGAUUAAAAGCUACGGCGGUGAAGGAUGAACACGCGACUGAUUAGUUAGUUGGUGAGGUAACGGCUCACCAAGACCACGAUCAGUGGGGGUACUGAGAGGUUAAACCCCCACACUGGUACUGAGACACGGACCAGACUCCUACGGGAGGCAGCAGUAAGGAAUAUUGGACAAUGGGGGCAACCCUGAUCCAGCCAUGCCGCGUGCAGGAAGACAGACCUAUGGUUUGUAAACUGCUUUUGUACCAGAGAAAACCCCCGCUCGUGAGCGGGGCUGAUAGUAUGGUAAGAAUAAGCAUCGGCUAACUUCGUGCCAGCAGCCGCGGUAAGACGAAGGAUGCAAGCGUUAUCCGGAUUCAUUGGGUUUAAAGGGAGCGUAGGUGGGCUUGUAAGUCAGUGGUGAAAUCUUCCCGCUUAACGGGAAAACUGCCAUUGAUACUGCAGGUCUGGAGUACAUUUGCUGUGGGCGGAAUAUGACAAGUAGUGGUGAAAUACUUAGAUAUGUCAUAGAACACCGAUUGCGCAGGCAGCUCACAAAAAUGUAACUGACACUGAGGCUCGAAGGUGCGGGGAUCAAACAGGAUUAGAUACCCUGGUAGUCCGCACCGUAAACGAUGAUUACU
rnacentral:rRNA from 1 species